AUUUCUCUAAUUUUUGUGCUAUUUUCACAUUUCCUGACCGGUGUGAGAAAAAUAUUUCUCCUCACUAGUGAAAAAUCUGUUCUCGGCAAAUGAUUAGUCAAAAUUUGAUUAUGACGUCAAAAUGUUUUGUUUUUUUCUCAAUUUUCCUAUUGUGACGUCAUGAAAAAAGGCGACCUUGCCUGAUGACGUCGCAUAUAAAGAGCACAAUUUUCUGAAAAUCUUUGAAAAAGAACGAUAAAAAGCAUUAGAGAAACAGAUUCUGACACUAUAACUCGUGUAUUACGAUAUUUCUCCACUCUCGACAGUUAAAUUUUAUUAUUUAAAGGGCUCGGCAAGCCUCGCGCUUUAAAUAAUAAAAUUUAACUGUCUCGAGUGGAGAAAUAUCGUAAUACACUUGUUGCAGUGUAAGAAUCUAUAUAUCUUAU
rnacentral:lncRNA from 1 species